CCUACGGUGGGCAGCAGUGAGGAAUAUUGGUCAAUGGCCGAGAGGCUGAACCAGCCAAGUCGCGGGAGGGAAGACGGCCUUACGGGUUGUAAACCGCUUUUGUCGGGGAGCAAAGAGAGGCACGUGUGACUCAUUGAGAGUACCCGAAGAAAAAGCAUCGGCUAACUCCGUGCCAGCAGCCGCGGUAAUACGGAGGAUGCGAGCGGUAUCCGGAUUUAUUGGGGUUCAAGGGUGCGCAGGCGGAGGUGCAAGUCAGCGGGCCAAUUGCGGGGCUCACCCCCGUACUGCCGUUGAAACUGCAUCCCUUGAGUGCGCGAUACGUCUGCGGAAUGCGUGGUGUAGCUGUUCACUGCAUCUAUAUCCCGCAGAACUCCGAUUGCGAAGGCAGCAUCCCGGCGCGCAACUGACGCUCAUGCCCGAACGCGUGGGUAUCGAACCGGAUUAGCUACCCGAGUAGUC
rnacentral:rRNA from 1 species